rnacentral:rRNA from 1 species
CCUACGGGAGGCAGCAGUGAGGAAUAUUGGUCAAUGGGCGCGAGCCUGAACCAGCCAAGUAGCGUGAAGGAUGACUGCCCUACGGGUUGUAAACUUCUUUUAUAAAGGAAUAAAGUGCGGGACGUGUCCCGUUUUGUAUGUACCUUAUGAAUAAGGAUCGGCUAACUCCGUGCCAGCAGCCGCGGUAAUACGGAGGAUCCGAGCGUUAUCCGGAUUUAUUGGGUUUAAAGGGUGCGUAGGCGGCCUUUUAAGUCAGCGGUGAAAGUCUGUGGCUCAACCAUAGAAUUGCCGUUGAGACUGGGAGGCUUGAGUAUGUUUGAGGCAGGCGGAAUGCGUGGUGUAGCGGUGAAAUGCUUAGAUAUCACGAAGAACCCCGAUUGCGAAGGCAGCCUGCCAAGCUAUGACUGACGCUGAUGCACGAAAGCGUGGGGAUCAAACAGGAUUAGAUACCCUAGUAGUC